rnacentral:lncRNA from 1 species
AUUGUCUGUUGUUUGCAAAAAAAAAAAAAAAAAGACACUAGACACGGAGGAAAACCUCAAUAAAGGAACUUGAAUGUAUAAUGAGCUACUGUUCUUAAAGAACUAUUGCAGUCUGGCAGAUGGCCAUGAAUUGACGUGUUUGUGGCAAGUGCUUGUCGUCUGCUUCCAGGAAAAAGGAAAUGGGAGACCUGAGAGUGCUCUGCUGGGAAGCGUGGCGGCAGGCCCUGAGUUGACCUACCCGUGUUGUGCCCUUGUCCUCUGGGCCCUGUGUGGAGGAAAUGGAGUCCUGGCUCUGCCGUACUGGAAAGAUAAGUUAAACCAAGCGAUACCGUGCUAG